UACGGGGGGGGCAAGCGUUGCUCGGAAUCAUUGGGCGUAAAGAGCUCGUAGGCGGUUUGUCGCGUCGAAUGUGAAAACCCGGGGCUCAACCCCGGGCCUGCAUUCGAUACGGGCAGACUAGAGUUCGGUAGGGGAGUCUGGAAUUCCUGGUGUAGCGGUGAAAUGCGCAGAUAUCAGGAGGAACACCGGUGGCGAAGGCGGGACUCUGGGCCGAUACUGACGCUGAGGAGCGAAAGCGUGGGGAGCAAACAGG
rnacentral:rRNA from 1 species